GGAUUAGAUACCCUGGUAGUCCACGCCGUAAACGAUGAGUGCUAGAUGUCUCGGGUAUUGACCCCUGAGGUGUCGUAGCUAACGCGUUAAGCACUCCGCCUGGGAACUACGGCCGCAAGGCUAAAACUCAAAGGAAUUGACGGGGGCUCACACAACCGGUGGAGGAUGUUGCUUAAUUCGAAGCAACGCGAAGAACCUUACCCGGCCUUGACAUGUACGUGGUACUGAACCGAAAGGGGACGGACCCUGGCUUUGCCAGGGAGCGUACACAGGUGUUGCAUGGCUGUCGUCAGCUCGUGUUG
rnacentral:rRNA from 1 species